rnacentral:rRNA from 1 species
CUCGUAGGCGGUUCGUCGCGUCCGGUGUGAAAGUCCAUCGCUUAACGGUGGAUCCGCGCCGGGUACGGGCGGGCUUGAGUGCGGUAGGGGAGACUGGAAUUCCCGGUGUAACGGUGGAAUGUGUAGAUAUCGGGAAGAACACCAAUGGCGAAGGCGACUUUCUGGACUGUAACUGACGCUGAGGCUCGAAAGCCAGGGGAGCGAACG